rnacentral:rRNA from 1 species
UACAGAGGGGGCAAGCGUUGUCCGGAUUUAUUGGGCGUAAAGAGCGUGUAGGCGGCUUUGCAAGUCCGUUGUGAAAACUCGAGGCUCAACCUCGAGACGCCGGUGGAAACUGCAAAGCUAGAGUCCGGAAGAGGAGGGUGGAAUUCCUGGUGUAGCGGUGAAAUGCGCAGAUAUCAGGAAGAACACCCGUGGCGAAGGCGGCUCUCUGGGACGGUACUGACGCUGAGACGCGAAAGCGUGGGGAGCGAACAGG